UGGGGAAUAUUGCACAAUGGGCGCAAGCCUGAUGCAGCAACGCCGCGUGAGGGACGACGGCCUUCGGGUUGUAAACCUCUUUUAGUAGGGAAGAAGCGAAAGUGACGGUACCUGCAGAAAAAGCACCGGCUAACUACGUGCCAGCAGCCGCGGUAAUACGUAGGGUGCGAGCGUUGUCCGGAAUUAUUGGGCGUAAAGAGCUCGUAGGCGGUCUGUCGCGUCUGCUGUGAAAACCCGAGGCUCAACCUCGGGCCUGCAGUGGGUACGGGCAGACUAGAGUGCGGUAGGGGAGAAUGGAAUUCCUGGUGUAGCGGUGGAAUGCGCAGAUAUCAGGAGGAACACCGAUGGCGAAGGCAGUUCUCUGGGCCGUAACUGACGCUGAGGAGCGAAAGCGUGGGGAGCGAACAGGAUUAGAUACCCUGGUAGUCCACGCCGUAAACGUUGGGCGCUAGAUGUGGGGACCAUUCCACGGUUUCCGUGUCGCAGCUAACGCAUUAAGCGCCCCGCCUGGGGAGUACGGCCGCAAGGCUAAAACU
rnacentral:rRNA from 1 species